UACAGAGGGGGCAAGCGUUGUUCGGAAUUACUGGGCGUAAAGGGCGCGUAGGCGGCCUUCUAAGUCGAACGUGAAAUCCCCGGGCUCAACCCGGGAACUGCGUCCGAUACUGGAAGGCUUGAAUCCGGGAGAGGGAUGUGGAAUUCCAGGUGUAGCGGUGAAAUGCGUAGAUAUCUGGAGGAACACCGGUGGCGAAGGCGACAUCCUGGACCGGUAUUGACGCUGAGGCGCGAAAGCGUGGGGAGCAAACAGG
rnacentral:rRNA from 1 species